rnacentral:lncRNA from 1 species
UAGACAGUCUACAGCAGCUAUUUGAUUUUCUAAUCAGCAGACCUGGUUGUUUCAGUGCAAGAGGAGCUGUGGUCUGAGGUUGAGUGUGAAGUUUAUUUUCCAUUUGCUACUGAGAGAUGAGAUUUUUUUGCUUUAAAAAAAAAGAAGGCCACAGAGAACGGCAAAAGGUAUUAGGAAGCAUUGUAGACAGAAUCCAAAAGCCGCCUAAUAUUUGUAAAGAUUAUCCGUUUUAAAGAAGAAAUAUGCCACAUGAAGUCCAGGUAAGAAACUCUUGCUAUUUUGGGGACAUAUUAUUAUAUUAUUUUGGAAAACUCCAAAUAGUGUGACUAAAGAUUUCAAUUUUUAUUUAAAAAAUGGUAACUUUUUAAAAAAAGGUAUUUAUCUUGUAUUUAUUUAUUUAGUUAGUUGCUCCCUUAGCAUGCAGAAGUUCCCAGGGCAGGGAAUGAACCUGAGCCACAGCCAGUGACAAUGCCCAUUCUUAACCACUAGGCCACCAGGGAACUCCUCAAAAAUGACAUCUUUUAGUUAAAUCAAUUUUUCUAUAAAAAUUAAUGCUGUUUAUAAAGCAUUUUGAAAAUUAAAAAAAUGUGAGAUAGAAUCAUACUUGAGAGAGUUUGUUUCAUCCUGAAGUCUUGGGCUUCAUUCAUGUGCAUGUAAAGUUCUCUGAUUUUAAUUUUUCUCCACUAUUUCUGCUAUUUCUGGGAACUUUAUGGAAGC